rnacentral:lncRNA from 1 species
GAAAUAAUUCUGAUUAUAAAGAUGUCAUAGUUAAAUUGUAGCUAAGUUAAAUAGCAAUUUAACUUGUAUGUGGUGCAAAAUUUGUGGUUUGGGGCACCGACAUACCCUAUUUCUAUUAUAAAAUUCUAAGUGUAACCUUAUGUUAGUACAAAACAGGGGGGUUUGGGUGCACUAACAGAUCACAAAAAUAAUUAUCAAAGUCACCAAUGUAAUAUAGUUAUAUGUGGUACAAAUAGGGGGUUUUUAGAGUACCACAUAUACCAAAAUAUAAUCAAAUAACAAGCCAUUGUAAAUAAAAUAUUCAAACCACAAUUAUUUAUUUACAUUGGCCAUGUCCAGCAGUAUAGAGCAACAACAAUCAUACAAAUAUAGAUGUUCUUGCAGGGAUUAAUCUAGCAAACCAUAUGCUAAUUAACUUAAAACUACUGCUGUCAGAAAUAAAAUAAAAGAAAAUGAAAAAGAAAAGGGAGCCAAGGCAGCC